AGGUUACAGAUAGCCGUGGCCCAACUACAGAAGGGUAAAUACGCUAACCACAUGCUUCGGUUCUCGGAAUGGGGUCGAAGCCCCAGAGAGAGAGGAUCGGCAUCGGGGUGGUCGAUCUGGAAUUACGAAAGUUCGCUGCCAGGACUUCAAGCUCUGUCAUACCGCUCAAAUCAGAACCCACCCCAGGUCCAGUAUAAUUUGAAUGAUUUCAGAGAUUGCUGUACGCAGAAAUUCAACACUGAAGCACUUCGUCAGUGAUUGCCUGCAAAACCAAGGGACUGGUGACCAUGGGCUUUGAUUGCGUGUUGAUUUCAAGCCACAGCGAGCAUCUCGUGAUACGUAGAAGUAGUGAGUCCAGACUACUAACUGCGUACCACAAUGCUUCCAGAACUGCCCCUCAAGAUCGCUGUGUGUUUGACUCACGAGACCUUUGGGUGUGUCCUAGUCCGUAAGAUUUCUAGACCAGUUUUAUAAGGGCUCUGGACUUACAUCACCAAAUAGCAAAAUAAUAAUUGAAUUUCAGACUCGACCUUCUCCGAUUUGCAUGACACUUUAAAGCCUAUUCUGCGCGGCGUGUGAGGUAAGGUGACUCGUUGUCACUAGUGAAGUGACAAAUGUAACCUCGGGUGAGGUAACUUUCCAUUUCAUUUGCAUGGAGACUCACCUCACCCUCGAGGUGACAAUUGUCACUUCACCAUCACUUCACUGUCACCUCACACGCCGUUUCGGAAUUCCGCUGAAUUUACUUCGCACGGUCUCCAGUUCCAUGAGGCCUCUAAACUUGUCGCACUCUAUCUAGAGACUAGCCUCACAAGGCCUCUAGAUUUGCUAAGCAGGUUCUCCAAAGUCUUCUGGACUUGCCUCAUAAGGUCUCCGGACUUGCAUUAUUAGGUAUCUAGAAUAGACUAACAAGACUUCUGGACAUGUUCCAUCGGGUUCCUGAGACAAUUGACAACACCGUCUUCAACCAGAGGUUGCAAAGACUUACAAUGAAAAUUUCCACCGGUUGGACCAUGAAGCCCACUUUAGCAGUCCCACAAAGCCGCUGGAUCUAUUCCCACAAGCUUUCAAGAUUUAUGGGACAAUUCUGGUGUGGACUCAUCCUAUAAGGCCUUUAGACUAGUCCUAAGAGGCCGUCGAAUUUGUCUCAUAAAGCCUCUAGAUUAGUUCACAAGGCUUCUGAAUUUGGCACAUAGGGCCUUUGGGCCUGACUUCCAUAGGUCCAUAAGGUCGCAUGAUUUGUUUCACAAGGCCGCUAAAUUUACUCCAUAAGGCCUCUAGACAAGUCCUCUGCAUUUGUUUCAUAUGGCUGCUAGAAUUGUUCUACAAACCCUCUAAACAUGUCUCAAUCUGCCGCCUUGGGACCAGCCUCACAAGAUAUCUGAACUUGUUCCAAAGGACCUCAAGAUUUGUUUCGCAAGUCCUCCAAAGUCUCCUGGAGUUGCCCCAUAAGGUAUCUGGACUUUAAACAUUAGGCAUCUAGAAUGGACUCACAAUUCUUCUGGACUUGUCCCAUAAUCCCCCCUAUUCUGCGAGUCACGUGACUCUCUCUGACCUGUGAGGUGACAAUAGUCACCUCGUGUGAGGUGACUCUCCAUUUGAUUUGCAUGGAGAGUCACCUCACACGAGGUGACAAUUGUCACCUCACCGGUGAGAGAGAGUCACAUGUAUCCCAUCCGACCUCUGAACUUCUCUAAUAAGAGAUCCACGACUAGUCCCAUGAGGCCUCCUGACUUAUUCCCUCAAGCCUCAAGCCUUCUAGAUUUAUGUGGACUUAUUCUAUAAGGCCUCUAGACUGAAUUUGGCAGUUCAUUUGGUCUCUGGGUAACCCCUGCUAAACGUCAAAAUGGUGUGCCCUCAAACCGGUAGCUAGCAGAAAUCCAAUUCUCGUGCAAACCUAAUCUUCUUCAUUGAAUAUAAAGCCAUCCACAUUCCCAAUUCAACAAAUUGCAAAAUUCCGUUCUCUUUAUUUAUCGAACGAUUGUCGCCACAAUCAUCUCCGCGGAUGUCACUUUUGUAUUCACUGGUACGGUCACGUUGGACAGUUCACUGCGGUUUGUUUACGUUACAAAAGUAAUUGUUUCAAUUCUCACUGAUCUGUCAAAAGUGACUAUGUACAACGAAAAGUCACCGCCAUCUUUUGUGUUUUGACAUCUGCUUUAGCGUCUAGAUUUGAUUACUAUCUCCAACACAUAAACACAUGCCCUUACACACACACACACAUUCGACCAUUCGGUAGGCAGAGCAACACUAACAAAUUGAAACAAAUCCACAGAGAACAGUAGUUUUGCAUUCACAAAACAAACAAACAAGCUAACCCUAGAGUACUACUACCAACCGAAACAAAGCAGGACAAAGUGGGAAGAUAAAUGCUAAACAAAAAUACAAAUAUAAUAAUCGCGCGGAAUAGUAGUUGUAACCUUAAUAGAAACACACUGACACAUGUAUACAUGCAAAUUACACACAGCAACAAAGAGAAACACACACACACAUAUACUUUUUUUUCCAGGUGUGCGUGGUGAGAGCAAAUGUGCAAGCGAGCGAGCAACCGAGCGAGAAAUUCAUUACCAUAGUAACCUACAUUCAACAGAGACAUUCACUCACUCACACACACACACACACUGACAUACAAAAACGGACGGCUGAGAUGGCGAGUGUGAUUAAACAACAGAAACAAGUGGUGGGCAAAUAAUGCACGCGUGUGCGUGACUUCAGAUUCUGAUUAAUCGGUAAAGGAAAAAAUUAAAAUAAAAGUAAAACACACACACACACUUACAUGCAGAGAAAACAGAAGAAGAAAGAAAUGUAUUUGUUGUAGUUAUAUUAAAAUUAUGAUUAUCAUUAUUAUUACUAUUAUUAUUGCUAUACACGAUAAAGAGGUAGUAGUGGUGAGUGGUGCGAGUGAGUUAUGGGCAUGAGUGCGAAAUUAGAACAAACAAAAACCAAGAAAAACAAGUCUUAGCAGUGUUCUCGGAUUAGUAUGAGUAAAAUAGAGCAACACUCACACCCACAAACACAUCUACACAGAAAACAUACAUUCACAAACACUCAGUCAUUAAACACUGUUGUUCGGAAGCUGAGUUUCCCUCCAUUCUUCACACUUACACACGCAAACAAAUGUCCCAUUCUGAGCUAGUGGAAAAAAAAGAAGCAAACAAAAAUAAGAAGAAGAAAAACGAGCAAACUAUUUUCGUUUCAUUUUUACGCGCGCGCGCCUGCUUUGUUCUAUAAAUAUACAUCAAGUAAACAUAUUUAGACAUGUAAAUGUAUCAAAUUAGUAUGUGUGAGUGCGAGAGCGCGAGAGGCAGAGUGACAGUUACACAAUCAAACUUUGUUGCGGCUAUGUGUGGGUGCGUGCGUGCGAGCGUACGUGUGCGAGCGCAUUUGCAGGAGCGCUAUGUUUUUUAGUGUUAGGCGAACAAAGAAAACAAAAAAAAAAUACUUAGGAAAAAAACAAACACUUUGUGUUAGUGUGAUUGAAAAAUAAACAAAGAAAACGCUAUAAAUCACCUGUGGAAGUAAGAGAAACAGAAGAAGAAAAAAAAACUAGAAUGCCGCAACUAU